rnacentral:misc_RNA from 1 species
CUGGUUCUAACUACUCAGACUAAAGUAUCUUAUACUAGUUGGUUUGGGCUGUCUUCUAUCUAAAAUUAAUUUCCCUUGCUUCCUCUUCUACUGUUCAAGCUGUAAAGUUAAUUUAUGGACUUGAAGAUGAACUUCAUUGCUUGUAACAUUUCCGAAAAUCAAACAUUGCGUUCUGGUCCUUCCAAUGAAAUAAACUCUCUGGUUGGCUGCAUUGGGGAUGAUAUUCGCAUUGAGUACGAG